rnacentral:rRNA from 1 species
CCUACGGGAGGCUGCAGUGGGGAAUAUUGCACAAUGGGGGAAACCCUGAUGCAGCGACGCCGCGUGAGCGAUGAAGUAUUUCGGUAUGUAAAGCUCUAUCAGCAGGGAAGAAAAUGACGGUACCUGACUAAGAAGCCCCGGCUAACUACGUGCCAGCAGCCGCGGUAAUACGUAGGGGGCAAGCGUUAUCCGGAUUUACUGGGUGUAAAGGGAGCGUAGACGGGUGUGCAAGGCAGAUGUGAAAGCCCGGGGCUCAACCCCGGGACUGCAGUUGGAACUGUGUGGCUGGAGUGUCGGAGUGGCAGGCGGAAUUCCUAGUGUAGCGGUGAAAUGCGUAGAUAUCAGGAGGAACACCGGUGGCGAAGGCGGGCUGCUGGACUGCGACUGACGUUGAGGCCCGAAAGCGUGGGGAGCAAACAGGAUUAGAUACCCCGGUAGUC